rnacentral:rRNA from 1 species
UGGGCACUCUAGAGAGACUGCCAGGGAUAACCUGGAGGAAGGUGGGGAUGACGUCAAAUCAUCAUGCCCCUUAUGACCAGGGCUACACACGUGCUACAAUGGCGUAAACAAAGGGAAGCGAGCCCGCGAGGGGGAGCAAAUCCCAAAAAUAACGUCUCAGUUCGGAUUGUAGUCUGCAACUCGACUACAUGAAGCUGGAAUCGCUAGUAAUCGCGAAUCAGAAUGUCGCGGUGAAUACGUUCCCGGGUCUUGUACACACCGCCCGUCACACCAUGGGAGUCAGUAACGCCCGAAGUCAGUGACCCAACCGCAAGGAGGGAGCUGCCGAAGGUGGGACCGAUAACUGGGGUGAAGUCGUAACAAGGUAGCCGUAUCGGAAGGUGCGGCUGGAUCACCUCCUUU